rnacentral:rRNA from 1 species
UGGGGAAUAUUGCACAAUGGGCGCAAGCCUGAUGCAGCCAUGCCGCGUGUAUGAAGAAGGCCUUCGGGUUGUAAAGUACUUUCAGCGAGGAGGAAGGCGUUGUGGUUAAUAACCGCAGCGAUUGACGUUACUCGCAGAAGAAGCACCGGCUAACUCCGUGCCAGCAGCCGCGGUAAUACGGAGGGUGCAAGCGUUAAUCGGAAUUACUGGGCGUAAAGCGCACGCAGGCGGUCUGUCAAGUCGGAUGUGAAAUCCCCGGGCUCAACCUGGGAACUGCAUCCGAAACUGGCAGGCUAGAGUCGUGUAGAGGGGGGUAGAAUUCCAGGUGUAGCGGUGAAAUGCGUAGAGAUCUGGAGGAAUACCGGUGGCGAAGGCGGCCCCCUGGACAAAGACUGACGCUCAGGUGCGAAAGCGUGGGGAGCAAACA